AUUGAACGCUGGCGGCAGGCCUAACACAUGCAAGUCGAACGAGUGGCGGACGGGUGAGUAAUGUCUGGGAAACUGCCCGAUGGAGGGGGAUAACUACUGGAAACGGUAGCUACUACCGCAUACCAUCGGAUGUGCCCAGAUGGGAUUGGCUCGUAGGUGGGGUAAUGGCUCACCUAGGCGACGAUCCCUAGCUGGUCUGAGAGGAUGACCAGCCACACUGGAAUUGAGAAACGGCCCAGACUCCUACGGGAGGCAGCAGUGGGGAAUAUUGAACAAUGGGCGCAAGCCUGAUGCAGCCAUGCCGCGUGUGGGAAGAAGGCCUUCGGGUUGUAAAGCACUGUCAGCGGGGAGGCGUUACCCGCAGAAGAAGCACCGGCUAACUCCGUGCCAGCCGCCGCGGUAAUUC
rnacentral:rRNA from 1 species